UACGUAGGGUGCAAGCGUUGUCCGGAAUUACUGGGCGUAAAGGGCGCGUAGGCGGGAUGGCAAGUCGGUCGUGAAAUCCCUCGGCUCAACUGAGGAGCGUCGAUCGAAACUGCCGUUCUUGAGGGUUGCAGAGGAGACUGGAAUUCCCGGUGUAGCGGUGAAAUGUGUAGAGAUCGGGAGGAACACCGGUGGCGAAGGCGGGUCUCUGGGCAACUCCUGACGCUGAGGCGCGAAAGCGUGGGGAGCAAACGGG
rnacentral:rRNA from 1 species